CUUCUACUCUUGUAGUGUCAUGAAAUCGGCCUUACAUUACACCAAACCAUAAUGCCUCUCAUCACAGGUGCUAACUGCUCUAAACCAACCAACGAGUUGCCCUUCAGUAACAAGUGCUGGGCACUGCGUGUGAAGCCACAGACCGUGUUCUAUCGGUCGGUGUGAGGCCACGUUACAGUACGAAUGGCAGGCGAGGUCUGGGACUGCCUCCAUGUAAAUGCCUUGAACACAGGGUUUAGUUACGAGUCCACCAUAGCUUUCUCCUAGCAUGACAUUGAGCACUCAGAAGUUACAGUACACGAACCAUGGUAAUGUUUAGGUCAAACGUUCAAAAGAAAGUCCAGAGGAUGUUUGGAGAAGACACGUUGUGAACACGCACAAAUGGUGGGUUGGUACACGUUUGUGCUGUUACUGGGUAGCGAGUGAAGCUGUCUAUAGCCAAGGGUUUGGUGAGAGAGUUUUCUGAGCCAGUUUAAAAAUAUAAACUUCUUCUUAGAGGAUCUGUUCCAUAGAAAAUAGAAUGCAAUCUGAUAAAACAGUUCUGAGGGUACUCUCCCCAUUGCAAGAUCCAUCCAUCAGCCUACCGCACCACCAAGAGAAAAGCUAAUCCUGCUAUUCCAAACCCUGCCGCUGCCAUGAUGGCAUUGCUUAAGGUACUGUUCUGGUCAGCUGGUUGGGAGCCAUGUCUGCCGAAGAAGCGACAGAAGCCGUCCCAUCCGCCGUGCUCCUCCAGCCACUCGCCCUGCUCCUCGGCCAGGUACGCGGCCAGCGCGGCGGCCAGGCGGCUCGGCCCUUCCUCGCAGCCGCUCUCGGCCAGCGCCGCCGCCAGCGUGCCGGUGAACACCACGAGCGCCAGCAGCCGGCCCCAGUUGAGGCCGCCUUCGGCCUCCAGCUGCGCCGCCACCUUCCGCAGCAGCGCCGCCGCCUCCCGCGGCUCGGCCCGCGCCAGCGGCGCGCAGGAGCGGAAGAAGGGCCGCUCUCGGCGCUCCAGCUCGGCCGCCGCCCGCCGCAGCUCGGCCGCCGUGGCGCUGGGAGGCAGCGCGGCGCCGCCGGCGCGGUGCUGGAAGUAGUCCUCCAGCAGCAGCGCCGUCUCCUCCUUCAGAGAGCCCGGCAUGGCGGCGGCCCGGGGCGGCUGCGGGCCCGCAGCAGCUGCCGCCGACUAAGAGGCGGGGUGGCCCCUCCGCCCCCGCCGCCGCCCGCGUGGCCCGGCCCGGCCCGGCCCUCUCCCUCCGCCCCGCCCCGCCCCGCCCCUCCCUCAGCCCGGCGGCGGCUCCGCGCGGUGCCUUUGUCGCGUGGCGGUGCACGCGGUGCCGGCGUGGGGCCGCUUCGCGCUUCCCCGCGCGCUGUGCCCGGCCUGCCGGUCGCGCCCGAGGGGCUCCGCGCUGCGGGGCUGUGGAACGGGCGCCGUUUGUGUCCGUCGAAGAGAUGCGGCCGGAUGGCGGCGGGCAAACGGACGGCGCGUGGGACGUGGGACCGGGGCGCUUCGCUACAGCUGAUGAAAGGGCAGAGAACAAAAGCAGCCCGAGGCGGUGCUGCUCCGUAACGGCCCCCCGAGUGCCCGUGCGGGACGGCUGCACUGCCCCACGCCUCUGCAGCGCUGCGGAUGAGUUGGGCGCUCUCACACGGCCGUCCCCGCUGAGCCCCCUUAGCGAACCUAAAAAUAGAGCUGGACUCGAUCCUGUUGUAAUCUCUCAGAUCGCUAUCGAGAACGGCCCGGUUUCAGAGCCACCACUAAGGCAAAGUCUUGGUUUUACAUCCCCAUAUUUGGUGCUUUUUGUUUUGCUUUUAACCGGGGAAAUCUGGUCUGUGUUUAUGCGCCGGAGCUGCGGCUGGAAGGCAGCACAGCUUUGCGCCAGGGCUUUUUGCUUUUUCAACUCGGGUUUUCCAUACGAUUGUUGAUCCCGGAGCAGGAAUUUCCUAUUGCAUUCCUCAGGGCAGGAGAGCAGAGGGAGAGGCUGCCAUCGCUCCGGCAAUUUCCUCUUCCACCCUUCCUGUUUAUACGGCGUUUGUUCGGCAGGACGGGGCCGCCUGUCAGUGACUGCCGCUCCCUCGGCUCACAGCUGGAGGCAGCGCCUCAACCGCGAGAGCCCCGGGCCUUCUCUGCCUUCUCCAUGCGGGGACAGCCGUGCAGGACCCGGCGCCGGCACCCGGUGUGGGCACUGUCACUGGAAUAGGUGCUUCGGCACUUCCCCAGCUCUUCCGAGGAAAGGAAAUGAAGCAACGUGCCUAAGUUAAGGUGCUGCUUUUUUUUUUCCCCCACGUCUAAGCUGAGCGCUUCCACCAGCAGCCUGCACGCUGACUGCUAAACCUGCACGGAGUGCAGAGGACAGCCGAUCCCAGCACGACUCUGCUCCGCUGCCAGAGCUGAGAGCUUCGCUGCUGCAUCUCAGCGCGGCCUGCACGCAGGAUUUACCCCAGCAGGGACAGCCAGGCCCCCAGCAGCACGUCUGUGCCCCGUGCUCACUGUGUCACGCUGCAAUGUGAGGACGGUCCCGGGCUCUUGCAAAACACAUACUCUGCAUUUUCCAGCGCAUUCUUGUGUCAUUUCUGGAAAGAAAACAUCACAUGUCAGCUAUGAGCCUUCUAAGCAGGAAAACACAACCUGAAUCCCAGCCUUCUGGAGGCAGGAGGCGCUCAGAGGGAGGCUCGAGUGUCUCCGAGGGCUGCUCUUGCAGUGGGUAUCAGUGGAAGGUAUUGCAGAAGCAAUUUUCCGGUACAUAUUGCCCUAGAUUUCUGCAGGACAAAUGACCUAAGAAGCUGUAUGGUGCAACAAGUAGAUGCCAAAAACCAGAAGCAAUCAUUACCAUUGCAAGCACUUAACACAGAAGGACAUGCUCUCAAUAUGCAAAAUACAAUUUAUUGUAUUUAGGCCAUCCAUAAGUAUCAACACAAUGCAGUAUGUUUGAAACAAAUAUCUUACCAAUAAAUACUAUCUAAACAUUAAUAUCUUUUGAUCAAAUGUGUACAGUGUAUUGACUCAAUAUUGCACAGUGAGCUCUAUAUGACAUUACGAUUUCUGUAGUGCAUUUGGUACAGGGAUUGUUUGCCACAAGUAUUCCAAAGCAUCAGGGCUGCCUUUUCCAAGCAAAAACAACUGAAAUCUCGUGAGGGACUGAAGGCUGAUACACCUAUCAGUGUCCUAAUUUAACUGGUCAUGGAUUCAUUGUUUUCAUGAAUGAGGAAACUUUGUUUCUAUUACAAUUUUUAUAUACUUUUUAAACAGAGUGAGUAUAUUAUCAGAUUUCUGUGCACGGCCAGUGAUUUGUUUCAUCUUGUUCCAAUCUGAACACCAACCCUACUUAGAUCUGUUCAGGAUGUGUCUCACCACUUGCUCCUUCAGGCCAGGCUGUGCCAGCCCCCAGCAGCUCUCCAGCACUUCUCUCCUUGAACACCCAACUCACGUUGGACUCAGCACCCAUUCAUACACC
rnacentral:lncRNA from 1 species